UUUUAAUUUUAUUCCCUAAUCGUAUAAAUAAACACACCCUAAAAGUAGAAAUAAAGGAAAAGAAAACAUUUCAAGAAAUAUGAGAAAGUAAAAGAUGGAUGACGUUAAUGAAAUAAUGAGACAUCGGCACAAGAAGAAAAGUGAAUCCCAACAUCAAUUAAUUGAUCAAUAAUUCCAAUCUAUUACUACUUUUGUUCCUCUCCCGUCGUUAUCAUAUCAUAUCAAUUCCUAUCCACCAAAUCAAAAGUGAAAAAGUGGUCUCACUCAUUGCAAUCAUAUAUUUAUUUUCUUAUAAAAGUUAAAAUGUAAAUUCCAAGAUAAAAUGUGGACCAAUUGUAGUUUACACCAUUUUUUUAUAUACCAUAAAUAAAAUGCUAGGAAAAUAGCGCAUACACUUAUAAUUAUAACCAAAUAUUUACCCUCCAAAAAGAGAAUUAUUAUAUUUCAAAUAAAAUGAGUAGGGAUGGUAAUGAGGAGAGUAGGGGAGAGGAUCGAUAUCCCUGCACUUAUUUUUGAUAUCUUUGUCCCCACUAGAAUUGUUUGAGGGGAUUCUCGUCCCCUCUCCAAAUAAUAAUAGAAGAUCAUCAAUAGAUCCCUGAUCCCCGAAUAACUGAUAUGUUUUUAAAUUUAAAUUCUGAAUUUGAUGUAAUUAUAUUAAAAAAAUUAAACAAAAGUAAGGUUUGACAAUAUAUCUUAUACUAACAUUAAUUAAUUACAAAACACAAAUCAUCAGAAUAAUUAUCUCCAUCAAUCUUCAUAAUUCUAUAAUAAAAAGAAAUUACUUUUAUAUCAAUAAUGAAAUAAAUGAGACACUGAAAUUAAUAUUUUUAAUAAAAACAUUUACUCUUGCACCUCGUGCUCCUCUUGUUCUUCCUUGAGGAAUGUGACAAAUUGAUAGAUAAUAUCAGGUUUCAAAUCUAAAACAAUCAAAAUAUUAUAAGCAAUAUGACUCAUAAUCUAAAACAGUUUUGAGCCAAAGUCUUUAGAAUAAGGUCUAGUCGAAUAGUAAUUCAGGACUACAAAUAGUUAAAUAGGCUCAAAAUUUUUAUAGUUGAUUUGUAUAAAUAUUUUGAUUUUUGUUAUUAAUACCAAUAUUUAAUAUAAUUUAAAUGUCAUUAUUCAUUUAUUGAUAAUUCUAAAAAAUAAAAUCAAAUUAAAAAAUAAUAUGAAGAAAUGGGAAAUGGGUAGGGGAUGGGGAUGGGGAUUCCACCUCAUCCCCGUCCCUUCCCGAAUAAGAAACUGGGUAAAAAAUUAUCUCCGUCUCUUCCCUGAAUAAGAAAUUGGGUAUAAAAUCGUCCUCAUACCCUCCCCGAAUAAGGAAAAUCCCCAAGGAUCCCCAUCCCCGUGGGGAUUUUUGCCAUCCCUAAGAAUGAGCUAUUUCAACUUAGAUUUUUAAUUUAAAAUUUUAACACAAAUUUUAUUCAUUGAUUUUAAAUAAUCCAGUGAUAGAUAUUAAAAGUUAAAAUAAUAUUUAAUGGUGAUAAUUCAUCUACCUAUGGAUUUAUUAAAAAUAAUGGCUCAAGAUUUAUGUUAAAAUUUUAAGUAAAAAAUUUAAGUUAGAAUAGCCUAACCUUUUAAAAUAUUAGGAGAGACUUACUACUACUCUUUAAAGUUAAGAGAUUUAGAUGUGAGUAUAACUAAAUUAAAGUGUAAGCCUAGUAUAACUAAAUUAAUGUGUAAGCCUUGAAAGGAAUUUAAAAAUUCAAUUCUAUCUUAGUUUUGUUGAUUUUUAAAAGUUUAUGUCACGUGUGACGAUAAAAAAUAGUUGAGAUUUAAUUACAUAUUAUGCACUCUUACUCAUAAUUAUCAUCACAAACUUGUAAGAAGAUAAGCAUAAAAAAUCAAACCAACUAGAAAUUCAAAUUUGUUAACACAUGGUAUUAUUUAAUAUGCAAAUUUUGUAUUCCAAGAUAUUGUAUAGUGUGCUUUUUUUUUCUUUUUUCUUUUUUUUAAAAGCAUGUAUAGUAUUAAUUUAACUAAACUUCAAUUCGUGUAUUAAAUAUUCUGUAUUUCAUUUCUCAACUUUACAAGCACACUGGUUUAGGGUUUAGGAUUUAUUUUCUUGUUUGCUAUCAUUUUGCUAUCAUUUUGGCCCUUACGAUAAUAAUCCACCUUAAUCACGUGAUCCCAUUCCCAUAAGAUUAGCAAAGUCUAGGAUUUGACUUGAGUGGAUUUAAUUAAUUAAUUAAUUAGCUUCGAUAAUGACGCACUAACUCUAAUUGUAUAAUUAAUGCCAGUUAAUGAAGCGAUUAAAUCAUAUGUAUCUAACUGAAAAUACGUCCAUUUGACUGCGAUUUUCAACCUGACCGACCUAUAUAAGUCAAUCAUCUUACUGUUUUAUUCAAACUUGAAUAGACCAAUUAAUUAAAUUACUCACAAAUCCAAAUAAAUUAAAAUAAACCAAUAUUAAAAAGCAUCUUAGUUGUCAAUAAUUUGACUAGAGUUGUAAAAGAAAAACAAGAGGUUGUCACAUAAAAGUUGUGAAUCAAUUCAUCUAAAUUGCCUGACAAAUAUCUAAAUCUAAAGUCUAAACUUAUUUAAUCAAAGUGAAGCAUCUUUUUAAAUUUUUAAAUUUUUAAAUUGAGAUACGAUAUUCACAUAUCUGCACUUCCUUUAAUAAAGAAAGAUUUAGGUGAAAGUUUUGUGCUGUGGAUAUCAUAAACAAUUAUGUGACAUGAUAUGAAAAUCUUUUUUAAAGAGAGUGAUUAACAAAUAAAUAACCCAUUUUGUUUUUAUUAAUAAUAAGAUGGGUCAUACCUGAUCAUAUUGUAAGUAAUGAACACUAUCAUGGUGCUUAUCGAUAGCAGGAUUUAUUGAUGCUUUAUUUCACAUCCAACGUUAAUGCUUUGCCAUAAAUUAAUAUAUUUAUUUUAAUCAAGUCAAACAAUGAUACCGUAAAUUUUCUGCAGUGAAAAGCACAUAUGAAAGAUGCAUUAAUUUUUAGGGAAAUUAUUGGAAAGAAUGCCCCUCAACCAAUAGCUUAGAGUGUAAUUUACUCUCUCAAUACGUAGUGUCUUGUGGCGGCAAUGAAUACUCUUAUAAUUAAGUGAGAAUAUAUUACUCUAGUGGCCGGAAGUAUCUAUAGACUUAGUCAUAACCUCGGAUGACUCGCCUUUACCACUGAGGUUACGUUUAGUAUAACUUUUCAAGUAAAAUUUAUUUAAAUAGAGCUUUUAUAAAUAGAUAUUUUAUCUAAAAAAUUUUAGUUAUUUGGUUGUCAAUAA
rnacentral:lncRNA from 1 species